rnacentral:rRNA from 1 species
UCUCCUAAGGCUAAAUACUCUCUAGUGACCGAUAGUGAACCAGUACCGUGAGGGAAAGGUGAAAAGCACCCCGGAAGGGGAGUGAAAUAGAACCUGAAACCGUGUGCUUACAAGUAGUCAGAGCCCGUUAAUGGGUGAUGGCGUGCCUUUUGUAGAAUGAACCGGCGAGUUACGAUUUGAUGCAAGGUUAAGCAGUAAAUGUGGAGCCGUAGCGAAAGCGAGUCUGAAUAGGGCGUUUAGUAUUUGGUCGUAGACCCGAAACCAGGUGAUCUACCCUUGGUCAGGUUGAAGUUCAGGUAACACUGAAUGGAGGACCGAACCGACUUACGUUGAAAAGUGAGCGGAUGAACUGAGGGUAGCGGAGAAAUUCCAAUCGAACCUGGAGAUAGCUGGUUCUCUCCGAAAUAGCUUUAGGGCUAGCCUCAAGUGAUGAUUAUUGGAGGUAGAGCACUGUUUGGACGAGGGGCCCCUCUCGGGUUACCGAAUUCAGACAAACUCCGAAUGCCAAUUAAUUUAACUUGGGAGUCAGAACAUGGGUGAUAAGGUCCGUGUUCGAAAGGGAAACAGCCCAGACCACCAGCUAAGGUCCCAAAAUAUAUGUUAAGUGGAAAAGGAUGUGGCGUUGCCCAGACAACUAGGAUGUUGGCUUAGAAGCAGCCAUCAUUUAAAGAGUGCGUAAUAGCUCACUAGUCGAGUGACACUGCGCCGAAAAUGUACCGGGGCUAAACAUGUUACCGAAGCUGUGGAUUGUCCUUUGGACAAUGGUAGGAGAGCGUUCUAAGGGCGUUGAAGCAUGAUCGUAAGGACAUGUGGAGCGCUUAGAAGUGAGAAUGCCGGUGUGAGUAGCGAAAGACGGGUGAGAAUCCCGUCCACCGAUUGACUAAGGUUUCCAGAGGAAGGCUCGUCCGCUCUGGGUUAGUCGGGUCCUAAGCUGAGGCCGACAGGCGUAGGCGAUGGAUAACAGGUUGAUAUUCCUGUACCACCUAUAAUCGUUUUAAUCGAUGGGGGGACGCAGUAGGAUAGGCGAAGCGUGCGAUUGGAUUGCACGUCUAAGCAGUAAGGCUGAGUAUUAGGCAAAUCCGGUACUCGUUAAGGCUGAGCUGUGAUGGGGAGAAGACAUUGUGUCUUCGAGUCGUUGAUUUCACACUGCCGAGAAAAGCCUCUAGAUAGAAAAUAGGUGCCCGUACCGCAAACCGACACAGGUAGUCAAGAUGAGAAUUCUAAGGUGAGCGAGCGAACU